rnacentral:rRNA from 1 species
CCUACGGGAGGCAGCAGUGGGGAAUAUUGCGCAAUGGGCGAAAGCCUGACGCAGCGACGCCGCGUGAGGGAUGAAGGUCUUCGGAUCGUAAACCUCUGUCAGCAGGGAAGAACGGUCACUGUGCUAAUCAGCAGUGAAUUGACGGUACCUGUAAGGGAAGCACCGUCUAACUCCGUGCCAGCAGCCGCGGUAAUACGGAGGGUGCGAGCGUUAAUCGGAAUUACUGGGCGUAAAGCGCUCGUAGGAGGUAUGUCAAGUCAAGGGUGAAAUCCCCGCGCUCAACGUGGGAACUGCCUUGGAAACUGGCAAGCUGGAGUGUGUGAGAGGAUAGUGGAAUUCCAGGUGUAGGAGUGAAAUCCGUAGAUAUCUGGAGGAACAUCAGUGGCGAAGGCGACUAUCUGGCACAUAACUGACGCUGAGGAGCGAAAGCGUGGGUAGCAAACAGGAUUAGAUACCCCAGUAGUC